UGUUUCUGGUUUCCAUUCAAACGAAUAAAUCUUCCCCUGUUACUAAAGAUUUCCCUGAAGGGGGACACUAAAUGAGUCUCUUAUAAAUUUUUUAAUAAUAAUCGUUUAGUUCAUUU